rnacentral:rRNA from 1 species
UCGGGAAUUUUGGGCAAUGGGCGAAAGCCUGACCCAGCAACGCCGCGUGAAGGAUGAAGUCUCUCGGGAUGUAAACUUCGUAAGAAUAGGAAGAAUAAAUGACGGUACUAUUUGUAAGGUCCGGCUAACUCCGUGCCAGCAGCUGCGGUAAUACGGAGGGUGCAAGCAUUGAUCGGAAUUACUGGGCGUAAAGGGCGCGUAGGCGGUUCGAUAAGUCGGAUGUGAAAUUCCGGGGCUCAACCCCGGAGCGGCAUUUGAAACUGUCGAACUAGAGUACAGUUAGGGUAAACGGAAUUCCACGUGUAGCGGUGAAAUGCGUAGAUAUGUGGAAGAACACCGGUGGUGAAGACGGUUUACUGGGCUGUAACUGACGCUGAGGCGCGAAAGCAUGGGGAGCAAACAGGAUUAGAUACCCCCGUAGUCCCUGAGCGGGCUGGCAAGGCGCAU